rnacentral:sRNA from 1 species
GUAUGUCCUUAACCUUGGCACAACAAAUCUCUAAAUCGAUUGAGACCUGUCUCAGAUACUUUUUGGUUUAUAAGAUGGGGGCUGAAAUUAAAGAGAAAGCUCCUCACUCAGCUCACAAAGGAGCAGAAUGGGAAGAGGACUUAGUGAGAAUUCCCUGAACACAGGAGAAAACCGAAGCCCAGAGAGUGGAUGGCCAAGUCCAAGGCCACAUAGCCAAGUGCAUCUGAGCAGCGCAGGAUCCAGGUUUCCUGCCCCAGUGCUGUUUCUGCAGCCCGUGCCACCUGUUUUCAUACUAUCUCGGUUCACCAUCCAGCUACACACCUGCAAUCAGAAACAGAAAGUCUGAGAGUGUGUGUGGAGCCAAAGAGGGGACAGCAGUGGUGCGGCCAGUUUCAUGUCUUGUGAUUUAUUUUCUCCCUUUCUUUUUGGACUUUAAUCUUAAGUGGACAGCAGUUUGGAACAGUGCCAGCACCUUGUUGGAUUGUGCUGUUUGGGAGAGGUGACACAGAGUAUUUUAAAAGAGCAGGUUAAGAACUUUUCAUAAAGAAUCAAUUGAGAAAAAAUAAAAUAGAAACAGAAUGUCCCACAUUUGGGCUGAGCACCAAACAAAUUUUUUUUUUUUUUUUUUGAGACUGAGUCUUGCUGUGUCACUCAGGCUGGAAUGCAGUGGUGCGAUCUCGGCUCACUGCAGCCUUCGCCUCCCAGGUUCAAGUGAUUCUUCUGCCUCAGCCUCCCAAGUAGCUGGGAUUACAGGUGCCCACCACCACGCCAGGCUAAUUUUUGUAUUUUUAGUAGAGACGGGGUUUCACCAUGUUGACCAGGCUGGUCUUGAACUCCUGACCAAGUGAUCCACCUGCUUCGGCCACCCAAAGUGCUGGGAUUAUAGGCAUGAGCCACCGCACCUGGCCUCAAACAAGCUUUUUAAUUGCAUUCAGAAGUGCACCAACUAGGCACAGACCUCUGGCAUGGAAACAGAAUGGGAGGUUCUUGGUGUCUGGCCUGGUCUUGCAGAAAUCAGGGAGUUGCCGGGACCAGGCAGCCACUGUGCAUCAGAUAGGAGUUUCAGCAGCAGGCAACAGAAAGCCUGCCAAUGUAGCUGAAAUAAGAAGGGCUUAUUUUUAUCCCUGAACAGAAGCUUCCAGCACUGGUUCAUCAGGUCAGGGCACUGAGCUGGCAUCCCCAUUUAUACAGUUUUCCUUUCCUUCACCUUUGUAAGAUGCCUGGCACAGCUCUGAGCAUCAAAUAUCUGUGCCAUGUGGGAGCACACGAGGGGACAAGUGGGGAAUAGGGUCUCCUCCGUCCUCUGUCCCCAGGCUGGCUUCUCUCAUGGUAGAAGGACCCCCACAGCACCAGGCCUCAUAACUACCCUGCUGGUAAACUGCAGGUGCUGUCAAGGCUUCCUGCCUUCGUAUAUGAAAUGUUCCUUGACAGCUGGACUGCUGUUUACCGCACGCACCGCUCUGCUGCCUCUUGGUUGCACCAGUGAGCUAUUGCUCCAUGACAAACCACACCGAAAUGUAGCAAGUACUUAUUGUUGCCCACAUGUCUCAAGUCAGUUGAGUGUUUCUGCCAAUCGGGGCCUGGCUUGGCCCACCUUGGCUGAGCUUGCUCUGGUGCUAGGGUCAGCUAGACAGGUUGGCAGGAGACCAGCUGCUCUAGAAGAGCCUGGACAGGAUGAAUUGGUUCUCCUUCCACGUGCAUCUUGCAUCCCUCCAGCUAAGUAUUUGAACCCAGGUCUCAUCUGACUCCAAACGCACCAAGAAGAUGGAGCCUAGAGUGACACAGAGGAAGAGGCCCCUGGAUGGAUGCAUGGGGAAGGUAGAGGCAGGUUUCACCGUGUUAGCCAGGAUGGACUCGAUCUCCUGACCUCGUGAUCCACCUACCUCGGCCUCCCAAAGUGCUGGGAUUACAGGCGUGAGCCACUGCGCCCAGCCACCUAUGUCCUCUUUUCUACAGGUUAGAAGCAAGGCACAAGUCAUACCUACAUUCAAGGAGAGGAGACCAUGCAAAGGAUAAACUUCAGAAAGGACAUGGAUGAAGCAGAGAGGCAUGUGCCUGUCUCAUUCGCCUCUGGAUCUGCUGCAUCCAGGACCAUGUCAGCACAAAGUGGGAGCCCGAUAAAUAUUUAUUGAAGAAAUGAAAGGUGACAAAAGGCAGAAGGAGGGAGACCCCCAAAAGAGUUACACUGGAAGAAGAGCCCCUCCUCCCUUCAAGCCAAGUCAUCCCCUUGGGCUCUCACCACUGUGCUUGCCUUCAGUUUAUACCUUGCCUGUAGUCCAGUCCCUCCUGCAUCAAUUCCAUCAGCCCAAAGGCAUACUUUAAUUCCUUCUACUGUUAAAAAAAAAGCUCUCCCUCUCUUAGGGUGAGAUGAAGUGGUUUGCAACAGGCCAGUGCUACUUUCAGAGGCGUUUGAAUCAGAGUGACUCCAUUUUGAAUAGGGGCUGAGUAAAAUAAGGCUGAGACCUACUGGGCUGCAUUCCCAUAAGCUUAGGCAUUCUAAGUCAUAGGAUGAGAUAGGAGGUCAGCACAAGACACAGGUCACAAAGACCUUGCUGAUAAAACAGGUUGUGAUUGAAAAAAAGCCAGUCAAAACCCACCAAAACCAAGAUGGCGACAAAAGUGAUCUCCGGUUGUCCUCACUGCUGAUUAUUCACUAAUUAUAAUAUAUUAGCAUGAUAAAAGACACUCCCACCAGCACCAUGACAGUUUACAAAUGACAUGAACACAUCAGGAAGUUACCCUGGGGGAGGAGCCCUCCGUUCCAAUUGUCCACCCCUUUCCUGGAAAACUCGUGAAUAAUCUACCCCUUGUUUAGCAUAUAAUCAAGAAAUAACCAUGAAAAUAGCCAACCAGCAGCCCUCAGGGCUGCUUUGCCUAUGGAGUAGCCAUUCUGUAUUCCUUUACUUUCUUAAUAAACUUGAUUUCACUUUA